rnacentral:rRNA from 1 species
AUGUAUCUUCUUGUGGCGAGGCGACUAGCACAUAACAGUCUGCCACUUUGCAUGAAUGCUCAGAGGAAAAGGAUUGAGCUUGAUACUAGAUGUCCUGUGUGUAUGCGCCUGGAUGAAGAUGGAGGGCAUUUGUUUCUAAAGUGGAAAUUUGUCCAAAGGAUAUGGAGUGACAUGGACAUGGAAGAUCCCAGGCUAGCUCUGUUACAGUGUAAGAACGCAGCUGUGGUUUUUGAACAUCUAUGGACCCUUGUGGCGCAUAAGAGAGAUGCUUCUUUUGUCCUGCUGUGGGAGGGGUGGUCGGCCAGAAAUAAGGUGAAUGCUGGGGGCAAGCUGAGAUCGGCUGAUGAUAUAGUUUAUUCGAUCAGGCAGCACAUUCAGGAACUCAAAGCUGGUACGAAGGUUGCGAACGCCUCUGUUGCUAGCCAGCAAAUACUCCAGUGGCAAAGACCCCCGGAUAACACACACAAAGUUAACUUUGAUGCUUCUCUUUAUGCGGAGACUGGCAGGGGCGCUUGGGGCUGUGUUGUCAGGAACUCUCAAGGGGAAUUUUUAGCUGCACGUUCAGGAUAUUUGGAGCACAUGGCUGGGCCGCUGCAUGCUGAGAUGUCGGCCUGUGUGAGGGCCGUUGAAGCUGCUGCAGAACUGGGCAUUCAUAGGGUGAUAUUUGAGUCAGACUCCUCUGUCCUGGUUAAUGCUCUCAACUCUGAUGAGUAUGAUCGUUCAACGAUUGGCGUGCUCCUGAGGGAGUCUCAGUCUUUGCUUUGGGAACUUUUGAGUCUUUCGUGUUUAGCUUUUGUAAGCGCGAGUGUAAUAAAGUGGCCCAUGAACUAG